GAUGAACGCUGGCGGCGUGCCUAAUACAUGCAAGUCGAGCGAACAGAUGAGGAGCUUGCUCCUCUGACGUUAGCGGCGGACGGGUGAGUAACACGUGGAUAACCUACCUAUAAGACUGGGAUAACUUCGGGAAACCGGAGCUAAUACCGGAUAAUAUAUUGAACCGCAUGGUUCAAUAGUGAAAGACGGUUUUGCUGUCACUUAUAGAUGGAUCCGCGCCGCAUUAGCUAGUUGGUAAGGUAACGGCUUACCAAGGCAACGAUGCGUAGCCGACCUGAGAGGGUGAUAGGCCACACUGGAACUGAGACACGGUCCAGACUCCUACGGGAGGCAGCAGUAGGGAAUCUUCCGCAAUGGGCGAAAGCCUGACGGAGCAACGCCGCGUGAGUGAUGAAGGUCUUCGGAUCGUAAACCUCUGUUAUUAGGGAAGAACAAAUGUGUAAGUAACUAUGCACGUCUUGACGGUACCUAAUCAGAAAGCCACGGCUAACUACGUG
rnacentral:rRNA from 1 species